AUUGAACGCUGGCGGCAGGCUUAACACAUGCAAGUCGAACGAGUGGCGGACGGGUGAGUAAUGCUUGGGAAUCUAGCUUAUGGAGGGGGAUAACUACGGGAAACUGUAGCUAAUACCGCGUACCAUAGGAUGAGCCCAAGUGGGAUUAGGUAGUUGGGGAGGUAAAGGCGCACCAAGGCGACGAUCUCUAGCUGGUCGGAGAGGAUGACGGGACACACGGGGACUGGGACACGGCCCAGACUCCUACGGAAGGAAGCAGUGGGGAAUAUUGCGCAAUGGGGGCAAGCUGAUGCAGCCAUGCCGCGUGUGUGAAGAAGGCCUGCGGGUUGUAAAGCACUUUCAGCGAGGAGGCGUUACUCGCAGAAGAAGCACCGGCUAACUCCGUGCCAGCCGCCGCGGUAAUAC
rnacentral:rRNA from 1 species